UGGGGGGCGGGAAGGCGCUCGGCGGAAGGGGAAGGGGCCGGGAAAGAUAGAGGGGCCGGCCCUGUCCUCCUCGGGAAUCCGAUUGGUUGUAGAUUCCCGCGGAAAUCACCCCGGCACCUCCCACUCCUCCUGCCCCGCCUAUUGCAGUAACUUCACGGAGACAGGCGAGGUCGGCCUUUUCGUUUAUUGAAGUUGAACUGUUGGGGCUAGGGUGCAGAGAAGGUGGAGAGCGCUAGAGGGCGCUAGACAAAUACCCGCGCGAAUCACCUCCUCACCUCACCUCAAUCUAACUCUGGAAAUACUGGAUAUGGGUCAGCCCAUGCUCCAGCUGGAGGGAGGAAGUGCACACAGGAUUAAGAGAGCCACAGGACACAACUGCCUGAGAAGGAAUCUCACAGACAAAGGCCCAGGGCCACGGCCAGGGCCCCUGAUAAGUCCGGUCUUCUUUGAGACCCCAUAUCUGCCAGGGUCCCCUUCUCACCCUCUGCUGAUCCUAACCCACUAAACUCAAUUUCAAGUUUCCUGCCAGGAGUUGGCCCAGGGUCUGGGAGGGGAAGGGGAAGCCUUUUCUUUCCUUGAAGCAGCAACAACCCCUGGCAGCCCGUACCCCAAAAGCGGCCUGUCGGGAGUCCCCAGAACGCUGUAAAGCAAGGAGCCGCAGACCCUCUCCUCAGACCUCUGUCCCGUUCCCAGGACCCUCCGCCCCCGCACCCGGCCCAGGAGUUCCUGGCUCACCUGUCUGCACAGACUCCGCAGAAAAGGAGGAAACCAGCUUGGAGAAAGUGUACGAUUUGUUUAGGUAAAACCAAACUCCCUGAACCUUGACCUUUUAAUUCAGCUGGCUGUGUUUUUCUCUUCACUAAUUCCCUGAGUCACAGCUCCUCCAAAUGCCAGGGAAGGUGGAUUAAUGGUUUAACAUGAAGUGAGUCAGCAACAUUGAUAUUUCUGAGAUGGAAAUGCUUCCAAUGAAUCAUAAAUCCUCCAGCAGGUGAAGAUAAAUACAUGCUAUCACCCUCAUCGACUAGUUGCAGUGUUGUACCAAGCUCACUGGGAAAGAACGGAGUGAACAGUGGGGUUGAGGCAGUCGCUCUAGCUCAGAUAUUCAGCGCUAAGCCACAAAAAGCUAUUUGGGAAUUUGAGAAAUUGAGUGUGGCCGUUGCUGAGUAACAACAACAGAAAGGGCAUUGUGUUUGAUUGAAAUGUCUACAGAUACUGGCAACAGAGUCCCACAUGAAAAUGCCUCAAGACAUGGGCAAACAGGAGGCUCCAUGGGCCAGCCAUGUGCUUUGCAGGUGGCCAAACCUGGUUUCACAUCUCAGUUUCACCACUUAACUAGCCAUGUGACCUUGGGUGAGUUCCUUAACCUUUCUGAGCUCCACUUUCCAAGUUUAUUACCCCUUCCCCACCCUGCUCCUCCAGCUUAGUCAGCUACAGCCAAAGCCAGAGUUGUGGUUUGAAUAUUAUAUAAUGGGUACAUCUGUGUGACACCAGCAGGGGGCACCUUCUUGUCACUGGGACCCGAUUUCGCCCUGGAGCAUUUGUUUGUAACUGCAUUGCACAUGGCCCUGUGCUAACCUCUAAGGAUAUCUACCCAGGAAAGCUAACACAUUUGAUCUUGGUCUUUAAGAUUUUCUGAUGUGGAUAGAGAGAUAAGACAUUCAUAUGAAAUAAUUAAAUAAUGAUUAAAGACAAUAUCUAAGAAAGUGUCAAUGUUUGGAUAUUUUCAUAUUUUAAAAAAAAACAUAAAGAUUUAAGAUAUGGAUAGCUAAAAUAGAAUUAUUUUAGUUAAUUAAAAAUAAUGCAUACUUCUGUCAUAAAAUUUCACAGUCAAAAAAAUUAUAGUAAAAAAGUAAGUUUCCUUUAGACCCCCAAACCUCAGACUCUCAGUCAUUUUCCCUAGAGGCAAUCUGUUUCCCAGCUUUUUUUUUCUGGGUAUCCCCACCCCAGAGAGAGACCAUAAAUAUGCAAAAGUAAUACAUAUAGACUCCCUUUCUUUAUAUACAUGGGAGCAUGCUAUAGCAAUUGCUUUAUAUUUUGCUUUUUCCAUCUAACAAUAUAUGUUGGAGAUUGUUCCAUAUCAAUAUAUACAGAAUGGGGGAUGGACACGCUUGAAGAUCUGACUUGGGUGGGACAAGGGAAAUAUAUGUAACCUAAACA